UCCAUCGUUGUCAAGUGUAUUUUGCAUGUCUGCGGGAUGGCAACGGGCAGUUAUGUCCUUUUUCGAGAAAGCAGACGUGUUACACUUAAGGAAGAUGACAUGUCUGUGGACAAGAUAUGCAGGAUUUUUCAGGUUAAUUGCAGUAGUCUGUACAUUACAGAUGAUGCAAACACUGCAAUAUUUCCAGAGCCAGCAGGACAUUUUUCCAUCCUAAAUCUUUCACAUCACAGUCAUUAUGAGGUCCAUGGAGAUCCAGUUCAUAGUCCACUUCCUGCAAGCACAUCCCUACCCACUACUGGUAUUCCAUUUGCCUUCAUGCACCGACCCUCACCUUCUGCUCUGACUGACACACCACGACCUUCAGCUGGAACGCCACGAGCAAGCAACCUGUUCCCAGCAAGAUCUUUCCAAAGGGCUAUCCAUAUUGCCAAAAUAGUAAAUGACAAGCUCAGUACUUCCAAAACAGUCAUCAUUCGCUUUUUGGAAGCUGAAGCAAAUGUGGAAGGAAUAACACAGAAGGUUCCCAUUACUGGAAACAGAACUCCAGAAAAAUCUAUGCAAUCUUUGAGGAUGACUUUGUGGAGUUCCAGAAUGGAAGAACAGCUAAAGCAAGUCGAAGGGCCGACGACAGUAUGAGCAUACAAGAGGUCAUUGGCAAAAUUGACCAACUAAAGCAAGCUGCUGAGAGCCUCCAAGAUAUCACCUCAGCAAUAAACCAGCUGUCUGAGCUUGCAAAGCACACACGCAAAGCAGUGACUGAUGCCCACCUGCAUUCUGUAAAGGAUGCUUUUGCCUGCCUCGUUUGCAAAGCUCUAAUGGAGGAACCCAUGUUUUCCACGUGCUGCGAGUCUCUAGUUGGAUGCCGAACAUGUGUGGAGCAGCGGCUGUUAACUGCAGAUCACUGUCUGAAAUGCAGAGCUGAAGAAUUUGAUCGUAGGGUACACCAAGUUAAGGGUCUCCAUGCUGUUCUCUCUCUCCUCAAAGAGAUAUAGAUGUGUAAUUCAUCUAACAUUGAAUAUAAAUGGGCAUUUGUCACUACAAAGCUAAAGAGGGUGCAGAGUUUGUAUUUCAAGCCAACAUCACACCAGCUUAAUUGACCAGGUUUUCCUACAGAGGAACCUUUUAUAAAAUCAGCUUGGGUAGUGUUGGCAUAUAUACUAACCUGCAGCCUCUGCAGCUUAUCAGUAACACGUUUCCUCAUCCUGUUUGAUGGGUGGUUUUCUGUUUGUGAGGUAAGAGAUUCUGGCUAGCUCGUUUAGGUUGAUACAGCAGACAAGAUGCGGUGUCGGUCAGGACACCGGAAUGAUGACAGGAUAUGACGUAUUUGCCAGCAGGUCAGAUGACUGCAGUGAUUUAUUGCACACUCAGUGUUGUCACAUAGUUCUGAAAUAAUAAUAAUAAAUCACACUGUCACCAUCUCCAUAAUAAAGGUAUUCACACAAGUAGAAAAAAUAUACAUGUCUUUCCUUUACAUGUGCAGAAAAAUGGUAGCUUAAAUAAACCAACAGGAAGGCAUAUUAACCACACUAGUAGGUUAACUGGGUCAUAGCUCCCUCUACUGGCUAAACCGGGUACUAAACAAACAACAACACAUGGCUCACAUGGCCGUUCUCCAGCGGAGUAACACUAAUUAACGACCCGAUCUAAUGGCGCGUUACAGCUGUUAGCUCACUGGACGUUUAAACACUUCUAAAAUCAGCAUUCACAUUAUAUGGAUACACGAGGUUAAACAAUAAACCUCCGCUGCCGAACGGCGGCAACACCGCAGCGAUGCUUAACUAGGUGCGCCGUAAUAAACACACUAUCUAUAGGCUAUAUGAACGAUACUCACUUCGUGCAUCCACUUAACACUCGGAGUGCCACAAUAAAAACACUCUCCAACAAAAACAACCGUGUUUCAGGCGAAAUAUACUUAAGUCCCCACAAGUGUGUAACGGUGAAAAAAAGGAGGAGGAAAGGAGGAAAAGUCUGCAGCUCAGCUUCUGGCUGUGCAGCUCACGGCUCUACUGGGGGUGAUCGCGCCACUUCCCUAGCAGCGCACCUUCAAAAUAAGAGCCUUUGAUACAGCCGCCCCCAAAUGUGCAAGGGCACAUUUGCAUAAAAUAAAAGGCUCAGUCCAUCUUAGGGGGUCUGGAGACUGGAGGAGGAUCUUCCUCUCCCGGUGGGAGAGCUGGUAACAUCACCAACCGGGCUACAGGCCGGGUGAAGAUGUGUCCUUUUAUGUUGACAUCAGCUGAUCUGACACAAUCAUCAUCACUGCGAUGGACCUUGACCACACGCCCAACUGGCCACUGGGCCCGUGGCAGCUGUGGCUCCACCAACAUGAUGACUGCCCCGUCUUGCAGAUCAGGAGGAGAGGACUGCCAUUUCUGUCUCGUCUGGAGGCCAGGCAGGUAUUCUCUUAUGAAUCUUGACCAAAAUUGAUCCGCCAGGAUCUGGGAAUGUCGCUAGCAUCGGCGGCUCAGGAUGUCAGUCUCUGGGUACACCACCUGCGGGAGCGAACCAUCGGGCCGCCCCAUGAGCAGACUGUUUGGUGUCACCGGGUCCACAUCUGCGACGUCAGCCGAUACGUAGCCCAGCGGUUUUGAGUUGAGGAUGGCUUCGACCUCCAGGAGCACGGUGAGUAGCACAUCCUCAGCAACUGGUUGCGAUCCGACACACGUGUAAAGUGCAGACUUGACGGACCGGACUUCCCGCUCCCAUACUCCACCGAAGUGGGGAGCAGCAGGAGGGUUAAAAUUGAACUUGAUCUUCUGACGGGCAAGCUGCUGUUGCAGCGCUGGAACCAUGUUCUCAAAGGCUUCUCUGAGCUCUCGUUGGGCUCCUUUGAAGUUGGUCCCUUGGUCUGACCACACUUCAGCAGGGGUUCCUCUUCUAGCGUUAAAACGUCUCAACGCCAUCAGAUAGGCGUCGGAAUCCAUGGUCCAAAGAAGAUCCAGAUGUACAGCUCUGGUCGUUAAACACUUAAAGAUAAUUCCCCAGCGUUUCUCUUGACGUCGGCCCACCUUUACCAGCAUGGGUCCAAAACAAUCCACACCGGUGGAGUAAAAGGGAGGUUUGUGUAACCUGAGGUGAGCUUCCGGAAGAUCUGCCAUCCUAGGAACAGAGGGCUGGCCCCUCCAACGCUGACAUUCCGUGCAGGCUCGUUGGUGCUUACGGACUGCCUCUCGCCCUCUGAUGAUCCAGAAUGAUCUCCGCAGCUCUGAAAAAACUUGCUCGGGACCGGGGUGAUGCAGAUCACUGUUGUACUUCUGGAUAAGCAAACGUGUCACUGGAUGAGUGGCAUCAAGGACGACCGGAUGUAGGGGGACAUCAACAUCUUCCAACCGUCGGAGCCGACCACCCACCCUUAUUAGGCCAGAGGUUGAAUCAAGGACAGGGGCUAAGGUGAGUAGGCGACUUGAAGGUGACACUGCUUUUCCUCCAGUCAGAAACUUGUAGUCCUCCGAAAAGGAUUGCUUCUGAGAUCUCAGCAGGAGUUCAGUUUCUGCUCGCUGAUAAUCCUCAGCUGUGGGUGAGGUAGUUGAGGGGGUCGCUCCUACAGUAGGAGCUCUUGGACAGUGUCCUCCAGGAGUUCCUGCCAGGAACUGUAUUCUUUAUCGCCUGGCCCCGGGUCCGGAAGUGAGGUGACUGUAGCUCCGCAAAAGGCAGUCUUCCUUAGCUCUGUGUGAUCCUCUGGGGGUUCAGCGUUGGGCCUCUGCGGCCAGCUGUCUGGGCUUCGUAGCAGGAAGGAAGGUCCCUGGGACCAUCUGUUUGGAUCCUUGACCUCUUGUAGGGUUUUACCUCUCGUUAGGUCAUCUGCAGGAUUUUGGUCCGAGUCCACAUAACGCCAGGUGCAAUCCUCCGUCAGCUCCUGUAUCUCCGCCACCCUUGCCCCGACGAACACCUUGAAGCGGUAGGACUGGGAAUGAAGCCAGGUAAGUACCAUGGUAGAAUCUGACCACAGGGUGAUGUGAGUCACUUCCAGGGUGAGUUCUUUGGUGAGGAGACUGGCGAGUUGGGCUGCUACCAGGGCGGCGCACAGUUCCAAGCGUGGGAUGGAGUGGACGCGUUUGGGGGCUACUCUGGAACGAGCAAGGAUAAAGGACAGGUGAAUCUGGCCCUCUUUGGUCGCUGUCCUCAGGUAGGCCACAGCUCCAUAAGCCUGUUCUGAGGCGUCUGCGAAGAUGUGCACUUCCCGAGUGACAGCGUCGUGGUCCGAGUCUGCGGGCACAUAAGGAAAGGUAAGUAGAGGUAGGAACUGGAGCUCAUCCUCCCAGGUGGACCAGGCUUGAAGCAGAGCUGCAGGUAAGUUCGGGUCAUCCCAACCGCGCUGCUUAUCCCACAGUUGGCGGAUGAUGAGCUUUGCCCUGGUGGAGAAAGGUAGGAGGUAACCUAAGGGGUCAUACUGUGAAGCUAGGACUCUGUAGAUGUUUCUUAGGGUUGGUGCAUCGUAGGACACCGGCCGGUGCUUGUAGCCCAGGGAGUCUCUCUCCCAGUUCCAGCUGAGACCCAGGGUGGAUUCUUGAGGAUUGGUCUUGUCUUGUGCCAACCACAGGUCUAAGCUCUGCGAUUGGGCCUCUUGUGGCAGGUGAUCCAGGACGCUCGGCUCAUUGCAGGCCCACUGUCGGAGGUCGAAGCCUGCUGAAGACAGAAGCUCUCUAAGCCGAUCCACCAGCUGCUUGGCUUCUUCUGGCGUACGCACACUUUGCAGGCAGUUAUCGACGUAAAAGCAGUGGUCGACAGAAAACCUCACGAUAUCCUCAGGCUGGCUGUGAUCUGUGACAUGGCGCUGCAGUGCAUAUGUAGCACAACAGGGGCUACAAGUUGUGCCAAAGGGCAGGACGUUCCAUUCAAACACUCUGGGGGGCUCGUCGACUUUCAGGUCACGCCAAAGGAACCUCGAUCCGCGAUCAUCAGGGAGGAGGCGGACUUGAUGAAACAUCCCUUUGAUGUCUCCACUUACUGCGAUGGGGUGUUCCCGGAACCUCAGUAAGACGCCCACUGUUAGGUUCGGACCACCGUUAAAUAAAGAAAGACACAGAAACCCGUAGUUGGUCUUUUUACCUGCAGGGAG